CUCUAAGGGCAUUUGGUGGAUGCCUUGGCGUUGAGAGGCGAUGAAGGACGUGACACGCUGCGAUAAGCCAUGGGGAGCUGCGAGUAAGCUUUGAUCCGUGGAUUUCCGAAUGGGGAAACCCGGCCAUUUAGGUCAUCCCGCAAGGGAAGCGAACCUGGGGAACUGAAAUAUCUAAGUACCCGGAGGAAAGGACAUCAACCGAGACUCCGUUAGUAGUGACGAGCGAACGCGGACCAGGCCAGUGGCUUGAUAGAAGAUAACCAGAAGCGUCUGGAAAGGCGCGCCAUAGUGGGUGAUAGCCCCGUAUGGGUAAUGCUUUCUUCAAGUCCUUGAGUAGGGCGGGACACGUGAAAUCCUGUCUGAACAUGGGGGGACCACCCUCCAAGCCUAAGUACUCCUCAACGACCGAUAGCGAACCAGUACCGUGAGGGAAAGGUGAAAAGCACCCCGAUGAGGGGAGUGAAAUAGACCUGAAACCGAAUGCCUACAAUCAGUCGGAGCCACAUUAAGUGGUGACGGCGUACCUUUUGUAUAAUGGGUCAGCGAGUUAUUGUCAGUAGCAAGGUUAACCGUUUAGGGGAGCCGUAGGGAAACCGAGUCUUAAUAGGGCGAAUUAGUUGCUGGUAAUAGACCCGAAACCGGGCGAUCUAGCCAUGGCCAGGUUGAAGGUGCCGUAACAGGCACUGGAGGACCGAACCCACCUAUGUUGAAAAAUGGGGGGAUGAGCUGUGGCUCGGAGUGAAAGGCUAAUCAAGCUCGGAGAUAGCUGGUUCUCCUCGAAAACUAUUUAGGUAGUGCCUCAUGUCUCACCACUGGGGGUAGAGCACUGUUUCGGCUAGGGGGCCAUCCCGGCUUACCAAACCGAUGCAAACUCCGAAUACCGAGGAGUGCAAUCAUGGGAGACACACGGCGGGUGCUAACGUCCGUCGUGGAAAGGGAAACAACCCAGACCGCCAGCUAAGGUCCCAAAUCUACGUUAAGUGGGAAACGAUGUGGGAAGGCAUAGACAGCUAGGAGGUUGGCUUAGAAGCAGCCACCCUUUAAAGAAAGCGUAAUAGCUCA
rnacentral:rRNA from 1 species